ACAGUGGUACUAAGCGUACGAAAAGUAGGGCGGGACACGUGAAAUCCUGUCUGAAUAUGGGGGGACCAUCCUCCAAGGCUAAAUACUCAUCAUCGACCGAUAGUGAACCAGUACCGUGAGGGAAAGGCGAAAAGAACCCCGGGAGGGGAGUGAAAUAGAACCUGAAACCUGAUGCAUACAAACAGUGGGAGCACCCUUGUGGUGUGACUGCGUACCUUUUGUAUAAUGGGUCAACGACUUACAUUCAGUAGCGAGCUUAACCGGAUAGGGGAGGCGUAGGGAAACCGAGUCUUAAUAGGGCGAUGAGUUGCUGGGUGUAGACCCGAAACCGAGUGAUCUAUCCAUGGCCAGGUUGAAGGUGCCGUAACAGGUACUGGAGGACCGAACCCACGCAUGUUGCAAAAUGCGGGGAUGAGCUGUGGAUAGGGGUGAAAGGCUAAACAAACUCGGAGAUAGCUGGUUCUCCCCGAAAACUAUUUAGGUAGUGCCUCGAGCAAGACACUGAUGGGGGUAAAGCACUGUUAUGGCUAGGGGGUUAUUGCAACUUACCAACCCAUGGCAAACUAAGAAUACCAUCAAGUGGUUCCUCGGGAGACAGACAGCGGGUGCUAACGUCCGUUGUCAAGAGGGAAACAACCCAGACCGCCAGCUAAGGUCCCAAAUGAUAGAUUAAGUGGUAAACGAAGUGGGAAGGCCCAGACAGCCAGGAUGUUGGCUUAGAAGCAGCCAUCAUUUAAAGAAAGCGUAAUAGCUCACUGGUCGAGUCGUCCUGCGCGGAAGAUGUAACGGGGCUCAAAUCUAUAACCGAAGCUGCGGAUGCUAGUUUACUAGCAUGGUAGGGGAGCGUUCUGUAGGCCGAUGAAGGUGCAUUGUAAAGUGUGCUGGAGGUAUCAGAAGUGCGAAUGUUGACAUGAGUAGCGAUAAAGCGGGUGAAAAGCCCGCUCGCCGAAAGCCCAAGGUUUCCUACGCAACGUUCAUCGGCGUAGGGUGAGUCGGCCCCUAAGGCGAGGCAGAAAUGCGUAGUCGAUGGGAAACAGGUUAAUAUUCCUGUACUUGAUUCAAAUGCGAUGUGGGGACGGAGAAGGUUAGGUUAGCAAGCUGUUGGAAUAGCUUGUUUAAGCCGGUAGGUGGAAGACUUAGGCAAAUCCGGGUCUUCUUAACACCGAGAAGUGACGACGAGUGUCUACGGACAUGAAGUAACCGAUACCACGCUUCCAGGAAAAGCCACUAAGCUUCAGUUUGAAUCGAACCGUACCGCAAACCGACACAGGUGGGCAGGAUGAGAAUUCUAAGGCGCUUGAGAGAACUCGGGAGAAGGAACUCGGCAAAUUGAUACCGUAACUUCGGGAGAAGGUAUGCCCUCUAAUGUAAAGGACUUGCUCCGGAAGCAUCUGAGGGUCGCAGAGAAUCGGUGGCUGCGACUGUUUAUUAAAAACACAGCACUCUGCAAACACGAAAGUGGACGUAUAGGGUGUGACGCCUGCCCGGUGCUGGAAGGUUAAUUGAAGAUGUGAGAGCAUCGGAUCGAAGCCCCAGUAAACGGCGGCCGUAACUAUAACGGUCCUAAGGUAGCGAAAUUCCUUGUCGGGUAAGUUCCGACCCGCACGAAUGGCGUAACGAUGGCCACACUGUCUCCUCCCGAGACUCAGCGAAGUUGAAAUGGUUGUGAAGAUGCAAUCUCCCCGCUGCUAGACGGAAAGACCCCGUGAACCUUUACUGUAGCUUUGCAUUGGACUUUGAAGUCACUUGUGUAGGAUAGGUGGGAGGCUUAGAAGCAGAGACGCCAGUCUCUGUGGAGCCGUCCUUGAAAUACCACCCUGGUGUCUUUGAGGUUCUAACCCAGACCCGUAAUCCGGGUCGGGGACCGUGCAUGGUAGGCAGUUUGACUGGGGCGGUCUCCUCCCAAAGAGUAACGGAGGAGUUCGAAGGUUACCUAGGUCCGGUCGGAAAUCGGACUGAUAGUGCAAUGGCAAAAGGUAGCUUAACUGCGAGACCGACAAGUCGAGCAGGUGCGAAAGCAGGACAUAGUGAUCCGGUGGUUCUGAAUGGAAGGGCCAUCGCUCAACGGAUAAAAGGUACUCCGGGGAUAACAGGCUGAUU
rnacentral:rRNA from 1 species